GGAGUUGAGAGCCUGGCGCGCUCUCUCUAUGAUCUCCACAACUCACUAACUUGAUUCAGAGAUUCAUCCAUAUUGUGUGCAGUUGUAGAUUGUUCAUUGCCACUGCUCUCCUAGGUCUCUGGUUUGGACAAGUUCAGAUGACCGAAAGCUACAGACCACUGAAUGUUCACUGUGAGGAUGACACUACCUGGCAAGAGUGGGUGGUUUCCAUGUGAACUACUUAAGAGAAACACUCCAGAGUACAUACUGACCAGUUUUCUUUAGUGGUUGAGGUACUUGUCUGAAUUUCUUGGGGUAAAAAUCAUUUCCAGCAAGUCGCCAGUCUCAUCUGGGUGCAAGGACAAGUCAUUUUUUUUUCUGCAUGUUUUCAAUACACCCUCCUUGCAUUGUCUGCACGUGGAAUCGUCUCAGAAGUGUAACCAGGAUGGCUUUCAUCAUCACCAUGGCGAUGUACUUCCCUGCACAGCCACGGGGCCCAAAACCAAAUGGCUGAAAAUACCUGUAAGGAACCUAUGAAAAUGAUCAGACAAUUAGCCAGGGUAUUUAAGGCUAGAGUCAUGCAGUCUCUGUUUGACUCUUCCUGAAAACACUGUUCAGUCAGAAUGCUCUGUUUCAGGGUCUCAGCCAUACUGCUUCUUCACUGAGAUGAAGGACUGUCACUCAGAUAAGCCCCUAGCUCUAUCCAGUUUGAUUCACUCAUUGUUAUACAGACCUAACCUUAGGCAGUCCCCAGUUUUGCUUUUCGCAAUGUACUGGGGUAAAGCAAUGCAGUUAGUCAUAUAAACUAGCUCUUUGGAGUGGCCACAGCUUUAUUGCUGGUUUGCAAGUCACCAAGCAAAGAUUGUUUUUGUAUGAUACUGUAUAACCUGAUGAAAAGGGAAAAGUUCAGGCCAGGAUGUGUAUUCUUGGCCUACCAGUGCAUUUUUAAUUAUGCAGCAAAUUGAUAUUUUUUUUGCCCAUAUUAUAAACUCC